CUGCAUAUUUCAAUAGCCGGUGCCCUGUAGGGGCAGUAAAGGGAAGACGGUGAAAUUCCGUCGCGGUCCCGCCGCUGUAACCGGGAACGAAAACCGCAGCAAACAAGGCCUGAAGGCCUUGAUGACCAGACCAGGUUUGUAGCCAUCCUGGCCAAGCUGGUCGCCACUGCAAGCCCAUCGGGAAUGUGGGAAGGCGCGGUUAGUAGGAAGAUCCGGAAGCCAGAAUACCUGCCGGUAACAUUGACCUUUC
rnacentral:ncRNA from 1 species